rnacentral:lncRNA from 1 species
AGCCAUAGCGAACAAGUAAAGAAGGAAUGACAGAAUGAAGUCGCUAAAGGCAGGAAUCCAUCCUUCCAUUUGAUCAAAGGGAACUGUUACAUGCAUCGUGCCGGUCCCCGUGUUAGCACGUUAUAUGAGAUGAGAUGCGAAUAAUCUCACUGUUUUGGAGUAUACAUCUGCUUCCCAUGAGAGGACUUGGCUAUGUCUGCUGGUGGUAUAUAUUGGCUCAAAUUACAGAAGACUGGGGAGCCAUUCUGAGAAGCACUACAAUUCAGCGCUCAUCAAUUUCCAUAUUGAGUAGCUUGCAAGUGUGAAACAUGGAGUAUCUGAUUUACGAGGCUGCCGAUCUUCUUAACAACGUAAGUUAACCAUAACAUAGCUGAUUAUUGACUAAUUACAGCCCUUCCCUUUAGACAUUGGCAUUGCUAUCUAAUUCUGUUAGUUUUGGGAGAAAAAUAUAGCUCUGUUGGUAACUUUUGAUUCAUAAACACAUCAAUGUGCCUAAGUUUUAAAUUGCAGUUAUUGACUUUUGGAUAGGAGAAGCAGAUGAUUUUUAUGUAUCUCGUAAAAAGAAAUCAGUCUUCUGCUCUUCGGAUGGAAAACCACUGAGUUUUGAGAAUUUUCUUUCUUUGCCUUUCAUAUUGUUAUAUGAGACAAUUUACAAUCUUUGUCCUAAGUGUUCAUAAGUUACCAAUACCUAAUGUACUAGUUGAGUACAAUCUACAUAUCGACACUUCUGCCUUAUGUGAUUCAAAAGAAAUAGAUAUAUUGCUAGUCUGACUAGACUCUAACACCAAUUAAUUCCAGUACCAUCAAGGAAUUUAAUGAAGAUAAUUAUUCAUACAACAAAGCAGCUGUGGUAAUGAAACAUAAAUUUAAAGUUUGGAAGAGAUAUAGCUUCUUUCAGUUUGAGACCCAAAAGCAAGGGUUUAGUCCAUAGAAGCAAUAACCAUAUCUAAUCCCAUUGUUGUAUUGAUGGGAGCAACUCUGACUGACUUUCCUGUGGAUUCUAGAAUAUUGAAGAAAAAUCUCAUUAGACUAAAAUAUAGGUGUAUGCUACAAUGAGCGUAUUAGAGAAGCCAGAAAACAUUACCUGCAAGCGAUAACAGAUUUCAAAAACUUCAGCAAGGGGUGCCCAGUCUCCAAAAUUCCUCUCAAUAAAUUGGUAAGCAACUCCACUCUUUCCUCUGCCAACGAUGAAAAGCCCUCCCUUUAUCUCACCUUCACCCCUGAAGUUUUGCUCCACCCCCAUGGCUUUUGCUCGCUUAUAAUUUGCAAUAGCUCGAGGAUUAAAUAGAAAGCCUGAUAUGAACCUGUCUUUUAGCAGAUUUCCUCCUCCCAGAGCUUUAUAAAAUUCCAUGCUUUUGUCAAAAAGGACUACACCACCCCAGUAUCGAGGCCAGAAAUCCUUUAACUGGAUAACAAAACCCAGCAUAAUGAACCAGGUCCUUUCAAGGAAAUGUCAGCUAAAAGUAGGGGAAAAGUUACCUCUGAUUCUAUUUGCUCAUGAAGAACAGCAAAUAAUUGAACCCCCAACGCGUCAAAUAUUGGUUUCUUUGCAUAGAGUUGGUGGGCUUCAGCUCUGCACAUAAUGCACCUGUUUCCAUCGUGUUUUUGGGAUUAGAUUCAGUAAUUCAUGCUCAUAGAAAAAGAUUUAAUUUCAUCUUCUUAUAAAAUAUAAAUACCACUUGUUCUUUAAGGGGAAAAAACAUUCCUAGGUUAUAUCCUUCAUCAAUGUGUCCAACGUCUAGUGGGAUCACAUGCAUUAUUGGAUCUUCUACCGUGAUUGAAGUUUUAUGCCGAUGUUGGCUUGAGUUUCCUUGUGAAAUUCUUGCAAGAGGUUUCUUUAUGUCUGUUUAACCUAUUAUGUGUAAUCUCCUAUAAGAGGCAGCAUCCGAGUCAUAGCAUAUCCAUUGAACUACAAUUUACAAAUUAUAGGUGUUAAUUGCAGAAACUAUUUGAUGUUUUACCCAGGACGACGAAUGCAUAGAAUCACC